rnacentral:rRNA from 1 species
UACGAAGGGGGCUAGCGUUGCUCGGAAUCACUGGGCGUAAAGCGCACGUAGGCGGAUUGUUAAGUCAGGGGUGAAAUCCUGGAGCUCAACUCCAGAACUGCCUUUGAUACUGGCGAUCUCGAGUCCGGGAGAGGUGAGUGGAACUGCGAGUGUAGAGGUGAAAUUCGUAGAUAUUCGCAAGAACACCAGUGGCGAAGGCGGACUCACUGGCCCGGGUACUGACGCUGAGGUGCGAAAGCGUGGG